UAUGCAGUGAAAUAUCGAUAAUAUGGUAUCGAUCCGCCCGUGCCGAGUGUGUACUUCCGUUUUGUACUGUCAUGGCUGCACCCUGUUCGCGUUAGGUCAAGCUAGCUGAACACAUUUGCCUUCCACAACGCUGCUCUUUCGAGUGCAGGAAUGACGUUGAAAGAUGCUAGGAAGUGGAACCGAUCUGUAUCUACGGUUUACGUCCUGGGUGUGUGGACAAUGAUCGGCUCCGUUGCAUAUUUGUAUUACACGGGUCGUUUCAAAAAUAGCACAGACUCGGCUCAAAAUGAAGAGGCAACAACCGGAGUACCGAAGAAUCCAAAUGAAUUUAUAUACCAGACUCCUCACAACAAAACUAUCGUCGUCUACAAAAAAGACUUUGUUCCAUACACCACAAGGAUCUACAAUUUCGUUCAGUCAUUCACCGGUGGUCCUGGGACUGCAGACAAAUGAAAUUAAAAAUGGACAAUGUGGAUUAGUAUGGAGGGCACACUAUGAUGCCGUACAAAUCAAUACAUAUGUGUGAGGGUGAACUCCAGUCAACUAAGUACAACUCCAAGAAAGCUACCAUCUGCUUUUGGGUUGUCAUGUCAUGUGCUAAAAAAGGCAAUAUUAUUUUCUAUACCUUGGUUCACAGUUGUGAAAUAAAUUGUGUUCAAAUAUACAUUA